ensembl:lncRNA
AUUAUAGAUGUUCAUUUCACUUGCACACAAUUUUGUUUUUGUACAUUUUAUAGUGUAUUUUUGUAUCUUGUAUCAACUCUAAGAAAUUCACAUUUACACAAUGCAUUUUACAUUAGUAGCUAACUACAGAUGACAUUCAGCUUUUUUGGGACCAGGUCUUGAUCUGUCUGUAUCCAGUAAUAAUGUCACAGAGAAUCACAGUGAACCUCCCCAUAGAUUUCAUGUUGUUGCAGAUUACAUGUCCUGUUGCCUCUGAGAUGGAGGUACGUGAUAAAACGUACUGUACAUGCAAAACAUCUGCACAGUUGAGCUGAGUUCUAUUGACAAAUAGCAUAUGUGAGUUUUAGAAUAGUCCUAGGUGACAUGUAAAUGUUUUCAUAAUGCUACAUGACCCUAUUAGUUGCCAGUAUCUAUAGCAUGUUAACAUACAGUAUGUGUUCACUGGCAACCUAUUUGUACUGCAAGUCUCUCUAUACUGGUGCCAGGUUUAUACAGUUUGUUUGAGUCUCCAAGGUUCAUCUAUAGUGCUGACUUUGAUUUACUAAAAACCUUCAUUAUCUCUCAAAAUAUUUAAAAAAAAUCACAUAAAAACACAAAAUAAAUGGAAAACUGCCAAAAAAAAUAUAGUCAAACUUCUGAACUCAAAGACACUGGACACUGUACACAGGCACUUGAACUGUGGUACACUCUUUGAGUGCAUUCAUAUUACGUCUAAUAAGUGCUACAAAAUAACAUCAGUUAGAAAAAAUACUGAUUCCAAAAGUGUAAUACUAUUCAGAAUACAAAUAAAACUGGAAAAGACAAAAAAACACACAAAAAAAAAACAACUCAAAAUUCUGGGCAAACAUAAACCUUAUCCUUGAAUGUGUCUUGCAUAUUUUUUCGGUUUAUAUUCAGGUUGUACAUUCUUACACACAAGCUGUUGGGGAAACAGAAUAAGCUGGUUCAGUGCGCUGCUGGAGGGCUGAUUGGGCCUCAAGGGAAGAUGGAGUCGAGGAGCGAGUGUGUCUUUUUUUUCCCGUUAAAUCAACACUCUGGUCACUCAUACUGUAGCAGAGUCUGCUUUAAUGUCACAGCCACAGCAAGAAGCAGGAUGAAUCAUAGCAGCUCUCUCAAUAGAGGAGUGAAUCAUAGCCUGCCUGCCUGUGUGUGUGUGUGUGUGUGUGUCUGUGUGUGUGUGUCUGUGUCUGUGUGUUUGUGUGUGUGUGUGGUCACAUGCCCACACCACAUCAGCUGUGAGCAAACUAGAGCCGAGGUUCAUCUGCUUCCAUUCAUUACGCUGCAGUGACACAUGAAUCACAAGAGAGGAAAGUUUAAUUGUGUUGAGAUGUUGGCGACCACGUGAUGCAUCCACACAGCAUCGCACAGGAUGUACAGUAAUGACUCACUCUCUCUUUCUUCUCCUCGCUGUAACCUUUCUUAUCUGUGCAGCGUUCAUAAAACUCCACAAGCUCUACUAACAAGUAAACACAUUUCACUUCCCUCUCAGUAGCGGUUUGUGUCCAUAUUCAAGCUCAGAGUAGAAGAUUGGCACCACUUGUGCAGGGAUAAUGGCAUGGAACACCCCUGCAAAAACACUGUUGUGUUUUUAAUUGUAGUUUUUGGAUGAAACAAAUGGGAAUUGAUGAGUUUAUUAAUGAGCUUUGAAGGUGCUGGUUUGUACCUUUGGAAGGAGUCGAGCAAGCUCUUUGUCCUUGUUUCCAGUCUUUAUGCUAAACUGAGUACCUAUGAGUUAUCCAGAAUUCAUUUGGAAUUCAACAACAGCAACAAAAAGGUGGGGAAAAAAACGUCAUAGGUGUCAGAAUAAAUGAAUAAAAUACCAACGAAACACGGUCUAUGUUUGGGUUUUGGCAAUUUUUUGAGUCGUCGCAUGAGUUUUUUGUGUUUCAUUUUCAUCAACCAACAUUUUCUAAGUGAUGCUCAGUUUCUCGUGGAUAUUCCAGGCUCUGGUUGCCUAGGUAACCCUGCCUCCGAGUAAAACGGGCUAGCUUACAUUAGCAAUUCACGUUUGCAUACAGGUUUAAUUUGUUUUAUUUUGCAUAUACGCACUUUAAUAGACAUUAAUAAAUGGAUGAUUUGUUUAUGAACAGUAAAUUGUGAAAAACAAAAAAACUGUAAAAACAAAAAAAUGUCUGUGGUGCCAAAAAAUACUGUAAAAUAACAUGAUGUGUGUAUUUUUUUUGGCUUUUAAAGUGUAGUGAAGCAUAUUUAUGCAUGCCAAAUGAAAUUAUGGAUGGAUGGAUGGAUGGAUGGAUGGAUGCAUGGAUGGAUGCAUGGAUGGAUACUACCAUGUAUUGUGAAUGGGAAUUUGCAGAAAGCAACACUGGAACAUUUCUUUUGGUUUUCUCAGUUUUUGUUUGUCUGAAAGUAAACUUAACUAAAACCCUUCAUGACUUCUGGUUUCCAAACAAAAAAAGGGAAAGGAGUUGCCAAAACCCAAAAAUGCACCAUGCCUUAUUAGUUAUCAUCUUUGACUGUGACUCCUGUGAACUGUCGGUCUGUUUUUGGUUUUAUAAAGAAGAACGGAAUUAUGUUUUUGAAUUGCAAGUGAAUUACAGAUCGCCCAAUGAUACCCAGAGCUGCUGCCUGUAGCUUCAUGGUAUCAAUUUUCUUCAUCCACGUCUCAGCAAGAAGCAUCAAGCUUUAAAACCAUCUGUUCCUGAAUCAUGCUGGAAUUCGAUUACUGUGUCUUUCUUCACGGCUUUAUAUCUCGAUCAUACAUCUAUAGACAAAUGCACUACAAUUUCUUCAUAAUUUUUAGUCACCACAACAAGAGGGACCCUGAGAAGGAGUGUGCCCCUGUAGGAAUGAAAGCAGUGCAGUUCAGCUCAGCUACAGUUUGCUUCUUUUACAAGGUAUCUACUGUUUGUCAGCUGCUUUUACGGAUAUUUGGAGCAGCAGGAGGGGGGCAACAUGAAAGUGGUCCUCAGUGAUAAAAGGUGCCACCCAGCCUUAGAAGUGAGCCUGCUCUAAGUGCUUUUAUAUCACCAUGGCGAUGUAGUAAAUGUCAGCGGCCUCAGCGUUGGAUAAGGGAUCUGUAAUGUCACGUUGAGGCUUCUGCGCUCCGUCGCCUCUGUGCUGUCCGCUGCAUUCAUCCUGAUGGGAGUGGAGCAGAGGGUAAAUGAAGCUGAAACCCUGAGGUAAUUACUACCUGCCUGUCAGGACGUCACUCUAAUGGGCUCAGUGUUGAGCGCCGGUGACAAAGCAUUAGCGCCUCGGCACUGCUUAUCAGACAGAGCUGUAUGCAAGAUGGUAAAAGUGAACAUGUGGAGACUGAAGUGAUUUUUGGAAAGUGUGCCUCUGAGGGGUGUCCCAAUUUUCUGCUCAGUAAGUGUAAAUUAUUCUAGAUGGGAUUCCUUGUUUCAGAUUUUUUUCAUUUAAGCUUUUCUUUUUUUUUUUUUUUUUUUUUAAAUGAUGAUGCCUUCCCUUCCCUCAUUGCAGUGAGUCAGCAGAGCUCCACGGUCCAGAGAUGUUAAACCGGAGGCUCCCUGCUGAAUCAGCCACAAAAUGAAAGUAGCUCACCGCUAACAGGAGGCAAACUUUUGGGGCGUGUUACAUUGUGAGCACAAAAUUGCUGAAACACAACCCCUGGAGGCACCGCGAAGAGGGAUUCAGUCGGCGGGACGCUGUGGAAGAAUACCGAGCGGCCUUGUACAGUAAAUGACGUCACAUCCCGGUCAACGUGGCCUAACAAUGACGCAAAGACAACGUGACACGAAACGCGGGUUGAGCUAUACAAGAAAGUUCAGAAGAAGUUGGGAAUGACUCAUGGCUCCCCUUCUGCUGCUUUUUGUGUCACUGAUGACGGCAGGGGUCUAAUAGAGUGAAUCCUAUGGAGAGAGACAGAGGAUUAUCUGAGAGUAGUGGAAGAAGCAUGAGGGGAAAAAAAAGCUGCUCCACUCUCUUUGAUGUGCAGGAAAAAAGAAAGAAGACAUAAUGUAGUACCUUUCUGCCUAUUUACCUUUCAGGCACAGACGUUUCAUGGCAAGUGGUUACAGAAUUAAAAGCGUAGAAAGGGGCAGAAGAUACUAAACUGGCAGCUACUGACAUACUGGAAUUAAUAGGAGAUGCACUGGCGUCUAUCUACGAUCUGUGUAACACUAGUUAAGAUAGUGGUUGGUAUUGCCGUAGAGGUCGUGUCCAGGCACACUGAAUGACGGAGUUAGACUCUAUAUGCAGGGACGAAGAGUCACACUGUGGCCCAAAGGUGCUGGGAGGUCCGUAAAAGUCAAGUCCGCGGCCACUCGUCAGUUUUUUUACAUUCUCUGCGUGGCCCAACCCUGCUUUUAUUUUGGUCCAGUCUCUUCUCCCUGUCUUCAGCUCCUCUUCCUCCUCCUCCUCGUCUUCCUCAGACUUCAGGAGGAGGUGAGUCGGGCUGGG